AUUGAACGCUGGCGGCAGGCCUAACACAUGCAAGUCGAACGGUAGCACAGAGAGCUUGCUCUCGGGUGACGAGUGGCGGACGGGUGAGUAACGUCUGGGAAACUGCCCGAUGGAGGGGGAUAACUACUGGAAACGGUAGCUAAUACCGCAUAACGUCGCAAGACCAAAGUGGGGGACCUUCGGGCCUCACACCAUCGGAUGUGCCCAGAUGGGAUUAGCUAGUAGGUGGGGUAAUGGCUCACCUAGGCGACGAUCCCUAGCUGGUCUGAGAGGAUGACCAGCCACACUGGAACUGAGACACGGUCCAGACUCCUACGGGAGGCAGCAGUGGGGAAUUUUGGACAAUGGGGGCAACACUGAUCCAGCAACGCCGCGUGAAGGAUGAAGGUCUUCGGAUCGUAAACUUCUUUUAUAGGGGACGAAUGAGCCAUUGAAUAAAUGGAAAUGACGGUACCCUGUGAAUAAGCCACGGCUAACUUCGCGCCAGCCGCCGCAGUAA
rnacentral:rRNA from 1 species